UCGGGAAUUUUGGGCAAUGGGCGCAAGCCUGACCCAGCAACGCCGCGUGAAGGAUGAAGUUUUUCGGAAUGUAAACUUCACUAGAACGGGAAGAAUAAGGAAGGGAUAAUACCCCUUCCGAUGACGGUACUGUUUGUAAGCUCCGGCUAACUCCGUGCCAGCAGCCGCGGUAAUACGGGGGGAGCAAGCGUUGUUCGGAUUUACUGGGCGUAAAGGGCGCGUAGGCGGCCGCCCCAGUCACUUGUGAAAUCUCCGGGCUCAACCCGGAGCGGCCAAGUGAUACUGGGCGGCUAGAGUGCGGAAGGGGCCAUCGGAAUUCUCGGUGUAGCGGUGAAAUGCGUAGAUAUCGAGAGGAACACCUGCGGCGAAGGCGGGUGGCUGGGCCGACACUGACGCUGAGGCGCGAAAGCCAGGGGAGCGAA
rnacentral:rRNA from 1 species